UAGCAUAUCAAUAAGCGGAGGAAAAGAAACCAACCGGGAUUACCUCAGUAACGGCGAGUGAAGCGGUAACAGCUCAAAUUUGAAAUCUGGCUUCGGUCCGAGUUGUAAUUUGUAGAAGAUGCUUCGGGUGUGGCUCCGGUCUAAGUUCCUUGGAACAGGACGUCAUGGAGGGUGAGAAUCCCGUAUGUGACUGGGUGCCUUCGCCUAUGUGAAGCUCUUUCGACGAGUCGAGUUGUUUGGGAAUGCAGCUCAAAAUGGGUGGUAUAUUUCAUCUAAAGCUAAAUAUUGGCCAGAGACCGAUAGCGCACAAGUAGAGUGAUCGAAAGAUGAAAAGCACUUUGGAAAGAGAGUUAAACAGUACGUGAAAUUGUUGAAAGGGAAGCGUUUGCAACCAGACUUGCACGUUGCCGAUCAUCCGGUGUUCUCACCGGUGCACUCGGUUUCGUUCAGGCCAGCAUCGGUUUGGGUGGUUGGAUAAAGGCCUUGGGAAUGUAGCUUCUUUCGGGGAGUGUUAUAGCCCUUGGUGCAAUGCAGCCUACCUGGACCGAGGACCGCGCUUCGGCUAGGAUGCUGGCGUAAUGGUUGUAAAUGACCCGUCUUGAAACACGGACCAAGGAGUCUAACAUCUAUGCGAGUAUUUGGGUGUCAAACCCAUAUGCGCAAUUAACGUGAACGGAGGUAAGAGCCCUUAAGGGUGCAUUAUCGACCGGUCCUGAUGUCUUCGGAAGGAUCUGAGUAAGAGCAUAGCUGUUGGGACCCGAAAGAUGGUGAACUAUGCCUGAAUAGGGUGAAGCCAGAGGAAACUCUGGUGGAGGCUCGCAGCGGUUCUGACGUGCAAAUCGAUCGUCAAAUUUGGGUAUAGGGGCGAAAGACUAAUCGAACCAUCUAGUAGCUGGUUCCUGCCGGAAGUUUCCC
rnacentral:rRNA from 1 species